rnacentral:rRNA from 1 species
AUUGAACGCUGGCGGCACGCCUAACACAUGCAAGUCGAGCGGUAGCAUGAUUAGUAGCAAUACUAAUUGAUGACGAGCGGCGGACGGGUGAGUAAUACGUAGGAAUCUGCCCUCAAGCGGGGGAUAACCAAGGGAAACUUUGGCUAAUACCGCAUAAUCUCGAGAGAGUAAAGCUGCAGCAAUGUGGCACUUGAGGAGGAGCCUGCGUCAGAUUAGCUAGUUGGUGAGGUAAGAGCUCACCAAGGCGAUGAUCUGUAACUGGUCUGAGAGGACGACCAGUCACACUGGGACUGAGACACGGCCCAGACUCCUACGGGAGGCAGCAGUGGGGAAUAUUGGACAAUGGGGGCAACCCUGAUCCAGCGAUGCCGCGUGGGUGAAGAAGGCCUUCGGGUUGUAAAGCCCUUUAGGUCGGGAAGAAGGUUAGUGGAGGAAAUGCCAUUAAUUUGACGGUACCGACAGAAUAAGCACCGGCAAACUCUGUGCCAGCCGCCGCGGUAAGAC